rfam:Symbiobacterium thermophilum isolate G2 contig01835, whole genome shotgun sequence.
CUCUGACACAGCUCCACGGUGGCCGGUCUGGCCCCCACGUUUGGACGCGGCGCGAUGAC